UACGUAGGGUGCGAGCGUUAAUCGGAAUUACUGGGCGUAAAGCGUGCGCAGGCGGUUAUGCAAGACAGAGGUGAAAUCCCCGGGCUCAACCUGGGAACUGCAUUUGUGACUGCAUGGCUAGAGUGCGGCAGAGGGGGAUGGAAUUCCGCGUGUAGCAGUGAAAUGCGUAGAUAUGCGGAGGAACACCGAUGGCGAAGGCAAUCCCCUGGGCCUGCACUGACGCUCAUGCACGAAAGCGUGGGGAGCAAACAGG
rnacentral:rRNA from 1 species